rnacentral:rRNA from 2 species
AGCGUACACGGUGGAUGCCCUGGCAGUCAGAGGCGAUGAAGGACGUGCUAAUCUGCGAUAAGCGUCGGUAAGGUGAUAUGAACCGUUAUAACCGGCGAUUUCCGAAUGGGGAAACCCAGUGUGAUUCGUCACACUAUCAUUAACUGAAUCCAUAGGUUAAUGAGGCGAACCGGGGGAACUGAAACAUCUAAGUACCCCGAGGAAAAGAAAUCAACCGAGAUUCCCCCAGUAGCGGCGAGCGAACGGGGAGGAGCCCAGAGCCUGAAUCAGUGUGUGUGUUAGUGGAAGCGUCUGGAAAGGCGCGCGAUACAGGGUGACAGCCCCGUACACAAAAAUGCACAUGCUGUGAGCUCGAUGAGUAGGGCGGGACACGUGGUAUCCUGUCUGAAUAUGGGGGGACCAUCCUCCAAGGCUAAAUACUCCUGACUGACCGAUAGUGAACCAGUACCGUGAGGGAAAGGCGAAAAGAACCCCGGCGAGGGGAGUGAAAAAGAACCUGAAACCGUGUACGUACAAGCAGUGGGAGCCUCUUUAUGGGGUGACUGCGUACCUUUUGUAUAAUGGGUCAGCGACUUAUAUUCUGUAGCAAGGUUAACCGAAUAGGGGAGCCGAAGGGAAACCGAGUCUUAACUGGGCGUUAAGUUGCAGGGUAUAGACCCGAAACCCGGUGAUCUAGCCAUGGGCAGGUUGAAGGUUGGGUAACACUAACUGGAGGACCGAACCGACUAAUGUUGAAAAAUUAGCGGAUGACUUGUGGCUGGGGGUGAAAGGCCAAUCAAACCGGGAGAUAGCUGGUUCUCCCCGAAAGCUAUUUAGGUAGCGCCUCGUGAAUUCAUCUCCGGGGGUAGAGCACUGUUUCGGCAAGGGGGUCAUCCCGACUUACCAACCCGAUGCAAACUGCGAAUACCGGAGAAUGUUAUCACGGGAGACACACGGCGGGUGCUAACGUCCGUCGUGAAGAGGGAAACAACCCAGACCGCCAGCUAAGGUCCCAAAGUCAUGGUUAAGUGGGAAACGAUGUGGGAAGGCCCAGACAGCCAGGAUGUUGGCUUAGAAGCAGCCAUCAUUUAAAGAAAGCGUAAUAGCUCACUGGUCGAGUCGGCCUGCGCGGAAGAUGUAACGGGGCUAAACCAUGCACCGAAGCUGCGGCAGCGACACUAUGUGUUGUUGGGUAGGGGAGCGUUCUGUAAGCCUGCGAAGGUGUACUGUGAGGUAUGCUGGAGGUAUCAGAAGUGCGAAUGCUGACAUAAGUAACGAUAAAGCGGGUGAAAAGCCCGCUCGCCGGAAGACCAAGGGUUCCUGUCCAACGUUAAUCGGGGCAGGGUGAGUCGACCCCUAAGGCGAGGCCGAAAGGCGUAGUCGAUGGGAAACAGGUUAAUAUUCCUGUACUUGGUGUUACUGCGAAGGGGGGACGGAGAAGGCUAUGUUGGCCGGGCGACGGUUGUCCCGGUUUAAGCGUGUAGGCUGGUUUUCCAGGCAAAUCCGGAAAAUCAAGGCUGAGGCGUGAUGACGAGGCACUACGGUGCUGAAGCAACAAAUGCCCUGCUUCCAGGAAAAGCCUCUAAGCAUCAGGUAACAUCAAAUCGUACCCCAAACCGACACAGGUGGUCAGGUAGAGAAUACCAAGGCGCUUGAGAGAACUCGGGUGAAGGAACUAGGCAAAAUGGUGCCGUAACUUCGGGAGAAGGCACGCUGAUAUGUAGGUGAAGUCCCUCGCGGAUGGAGCUGAAAUCAGUCGAAGAUACCAGCUGGCUGCAACUGUUUAUUAAAAACACAGCACUGUGCAAACACGAAAGUGGACGUAUACGGUGUGACGCCUGCCCGGUGCCGGAAGGUUAAUUGAUGGGGUUAGCGGUAACGCGAAGCUCUUGAUCGAAGCCCCGGUAAACGGCGGCCGUAACUAUAACGGUCCUAAGGUAGCGAAAUUCCUUGUCGGGUAAGUUCCGACCUGCACGAAUGGCGUAAUGAUGGCCAGGCUGUCUCCACCCGAGACUCAGUGAAAUUGAACUCGCUGUGAAGAUGCAGUGUACCCGCGGCAAGACGGAAAGACCCCGUGAACCUUUACUAUAGCUUGACACUGAACAUUGAGCCUUGAUGUGUAGGAUAGGUGGGAGGCUUUGAAGUGUGGACGCCAGUCUGCAUGGAGCCGACCUUGAAAUACCACCCUUUAAUGUUUGAUGUUCUAACGUUGGCCCCUGAUCGGGGUUGCGGACAGUGUCUGGUGGGUAGUUUGACUGGGGCGGUCUCCUCCUAAAGAGUAACGGAGGAGCACGAAGGUUGGCUAAUCCUGGUCGGACAUCAGGAGGUUAGUGCAAUGGCAUAAGCCAGCUUGACUGCGAGCGUGACGGCGCGAGCAGGUGCGAAAGCAGGUCAUAGUGAUCCGGUGGUUCUGAAUGGAAGGGCCAUCGCUCAACGGAUAAAAGGUACUCCGGGGAUAACAGGCUGAUACCGCCCAAGAGUUCAUAUCGACGGCGGUGUUUGGCACCUCGAUGUCGGCUCAUCACAUCCUGGGGCUGAAGUAGGUCCCAAGGGUAUGGCUGUUCGCCAUUUAAAGUGGUACGCGAGCUGGGUUUAGAACGUCGUGAGACAGUUCGGUCCCUAUCUGCCGUGGGCGCUGGAGAACUGAGGGGGGCUGCUCCUAGUACGAGAGGACCGGAGUGGACGCAUCACUGGUGUUCGGGUUGUCAUGCCAAUGGCACUGCCCGGUAGCUAAAUGCGGAAGAGAUAAGUGCUGAAAGCAUCUAAGCACGAAACUUGCCCCGAGAUGAGUUCUCCCUGACUCCUUGA